rnacentral:lncRNA from 1 species
UUGGCACCAGCUGAGUCGAGAUGGAUGGUCUGUCUUCCCGAAGUGUUCUCAUCCUCGUCCAAAAAAGCCGUGCUUUAAGACUGAGAGGGGAAACCGCCACUGAGCAGCGAUCUCUGAGACCAGAGGUCCAUCGGACAGUCCACCAGCUCUUCAGAGACCCACACAGACCUGCAAGUCCACACCCCUUCUAGCUUCUAUAACUAUCACCAUAUUAACAGUGAACCGAGCCAUCCUGACUGUUAUCCAUCAGACAAAGUGAUGAAAGAGGUCAUUAUCAUGCUGAGACAGUCAGCUGGAGUAAGCCAGAGGAAACGAAACAGAAAUGAAGAGUGCUCUAGAGACCCUGCCCUGUGUUCAAUCUACAAUGUCCACAACCAGCAAGAAAAAAAAGAGAGCAACUGUGUCAGGUAAAGGGAGAACUAACUACCUUGUCGCCUUGAACCUGAUCCAUUUGCUAUAACAGACAUUAAGGGAAAAGAUGAUGUGUAUCUUUAAUGCUAGACUUACGUGAGUUCAAGGCCAGAUUUGUCUACAUGGUGAGUUCCAGAACCAGACCUAGUCUCAAUACACAGAGAGGUGACAUUUGAGUCAGGCCUGAGGACUGGGUGGGAGCGAGGGUCAUAUGUGAAUCUCCCAGUCUCCCCGGCUUCAUUGUGCCUACACUUUUCCAUUUCUGCAGUGGGGGAGAUGAGACUAAAGCCAGGACGCUAGGCGGGAGGUGAGGGCUCAGCACGGAGCUCUGCCC